rnacentral:misc_RNA from 1 species
AAUUGAUCAACAAAGUUAACACACCAAUUCUGUUAUGACACAGUUCGCUGCAUAAAAUGGACCCUUGUGAUCAAAACCAGAGACUCAUUAGAAGGGGAAUUCUAAGAACUUGAAUUAUAUUUAGUAAAUCUCUGCCCCUUGGAUAUUUACUUGAGCCAUCAUGAUUUUUGCUUUGAUAGAAAAGCUUCAUUGAUCGCAAACUGGGUUUCCACACAUGUUUAUGAUUCUUUUGUUUAUCUUUUUGAGAAAGACGUGACAACCUUCUUUACCAUUAGCUGAGAGAGAACGAGAGAUGGUAGCAUCUCUAAGAAGAGAGGUAUGCUGGGAGAGCAAUGACUAAGAAGGGAGUUUUGAUCUCGCCAUUUCAA